ACCUAGUAAUUGUGCGGUGUU
rnacentral:miRNA from 1 species